AAUAAGCGUCACCGGAUCCGACCCUUUGAGAGCCGUGCCACCUCUGUACUGGGUGUUAAUGUCAUGAGUCUGUAUCUUUGCAUAUGCGGAUGCUUAUGCCUUAAUUCCUGUCGUUCGAUGCAAUGUUUCUUUGGGUCAUAAACUUAUCAUCUGCGAGCUAAGUACUCUGAAAUCCUGAACUGGUGAUAAUAAUAUGCAGUGUUCUGCUUCUGUGAGUUAUGUGUGUUACGUUCUUGACACACGAUGUUUGUGAGAUUUUGCUAACUUCUCUGAUUUUGUAAUGAUUUUGCGGUCAAAUAUAAUAGAUGGUAUGAACCAGUGUGAAAUUGGGAGAGUGGCUGCCUUUUUCUUUCUUAGUAUAUCAGCAUAUCACAGGCAUAUUGAUAAUGUGUACUUCCCUUCCGUAGUAAACCAAUGCUGCCGGAAGUUUGUUCAAGCUUACAUAGCUGUUUGUGCUGUUGGUACGGUGAUCUCUCUGUAUGUCUAUGACACUGAAAGUUUCGCUCCAAUUCUAAUACAUGCUGGUCUACAUUAUGCCACAAUUACAGAUAUUGAUGGUGAGUUCUACGAUGGUUUUACUCCUAGAGCCUUGUCCAGUCAAUAUUGGGUCUUCUGAUGCAAAGUCCAUGGCAUUGUCAUCACGGGAUGGCUACUGCGCUAAUAUCGAUUUUGAGAAUGAGGAUCUGGGGAAUCCCCAUAUCACUCUGGUAUUUUAUAUCUAUUCCUUUCUAUGUUUCUUCUCUUUCUGGGAGGGGGGUUUUCCUAAUAGUCUAUCAUUUAAAACUAUGUAGAUAGCAAAGGUGCUUUCGUUCUUGUGGAACAAGAAGCCCUCGUACCUUAAUGAAAGGAAAAUCGUAAUUUUUCGUUAGGUAUUUGACCAAAUAGGCCAAAUAACCUUACCUGUUAUCCGCAAAAAAAUAAAAUAAAGCCUUACUUGUUGUCCAUUUGUUACGGACUCAAAUUUCAGCUUGCCAAUAAUCCCAAAGUCUUAGCCGUAACUCUGAUUAAAUUGCAUCAUUCAAACAUGAUUGCUAUCGUCUUGUUGAGUUGCCAUUUCUGGGACUAACAGGUACUCCCUCCGUCACAUAAUUCUUGUCGCCAUUUUAGUUCAAAUUUGAACUAAAACAAAUUUAGCACCAUAUAUUCUAAUUAGUUUGUUAUUUUGAUUUUACAAACAUCUUUUGCCAGUUUAGAAAAUUGGCAAUUUUAUCAAAACGAGCAUAAUUUUGAGAUUGAAUAGGUGGCAUAACAUAUUAAAAUACUAAUUAAAGAUAUUUCAUGGUGAAAGUUGCUGUUGAGCUGCAUGUUGUUGAGUAUUUUAAUUUCAUAGCUCAAAGUUUAUCUGCAAUUUGUAUCAAUGUAAAAUCUAUGGUUAGCAUAACAUCUUUCGAAGUGGUCAUAAGUAAUUUAUACACCAUAGCCAGAACUAGUUGUAUCAAAUGACAAUACUUGAAUGCAACUGCCAUGCAAAGGAUUAGGGGUACUAUUGUAAUGCAUGACUACUUAACUAGAGACUAACUGGGCACCUUAGGCAAGAUGCCCAGCCAAGUCGCCUUGGCCCAUGACGGGCCAUGAGCCCUCCACUCCGCUAUAUCUUUUGAGGUGAUACUUUUACUAGUUGACCCGCCUCGCGUCCGAGGGACAAUGCCACCACAAAACACUGAGAACAUUCUGACUCGCCAAGCACUAGCACGCUCGAUUUGAAUUGCCUGUGGAUACCUUCGAGACAUUGCACAUGCGAUGCUGGGACAUUCAUGUACUUCCGUGAGGCAGAGAGGAAAGGAAAGCGUGACUACUUCCACUGCGACGCGCUUCACUAACUCUGCUUCCGCUAGUCUGUAUGUCUAGUGGUAAUCCCAUGGUCAACAUCUUGCGGUUAUUCUUGGUAAACGAUGUACAAAUUUUUGAAAUUGCGCUAGAGUAGCCUAUGUGUUCCCCUUCAGGUAGCUCCCACUCCCAACAUGCUCCGGCCGGCAGAGCCAUCGGAGAAGAGAGGUAGAGGGGGGUGCGAGGGCAGCGGGAGGAAGAGAACAGAAAUCUCGAGAGCUCGCAGGAAAGAGAAAGAGAUUCAAGUCUGAACUGGGAUUGUUUACGUCUUCUUGCAGUUGUCUGUAGUCUGCAUUAAGGAGUGAAGAACACUGAUAUUGAUACUAAUGAGUUGUAUGUGGAGUUGAAAUUACUCCAAAAAAUUUCAUUACAAAGGGAAAUAUGUGGCCGGUUGAUAGUUUGAAUUUU